rnacentral:rRNA from 1 species
UACGUAGGUGGCAAGCGUUGUCCGGAAUUAUUGGGCGUAAAGCGCGCGCAGGCGGUCCUUUAAGUCUGAUGUGAAAGCCCACGGCUCAACCGUGGAGGGUCAUUGGAAACUGGGGGGACUUGAGUGCAGGAGAGAAGAGUGGAAUUCCACGGUGUAGCGGUGGAAAUGCGAGAGUAUGUGGAGGAACACCAAUGGCGAAGGC